UGACUGAGGAGGCUAUGACUGAGGUAGCUAUGACUGAGGAGGCUAUGACUGAGGAGGCUAUGACUGAGGAGGCUAUGACUGAGGAGGCUAUGACUGAGGAGGCUAUGACUGAGGUAGCUAUGACUGAGGAGGCUAUGACUGAGGAGGCUAUGACUGAGGUGGCUAUGACUGAGGAGGCUAUGACUGAGGUAGCUAUGACUGAGGUAGCUAUGGCUGAGGUAGCUAUGGCUGAGGUAGCUAUGGCUGAGGUAGCUAUGACUGAGGUAGCUAUGACUGAGGUAGCUAUGACUGAGGUAGCUAUGACUGAGGAGGCUAUGGCCUGAAUGGAGUUUUCAGCUGCUGACUGUCACGACU
ensembl:lncRNA